CAGAUGCUGCAGUUUCAGCCUGUCUCCUGAUACAAAGUGGAAAUAUUCCUCAGAAGCACAGCGACACAUUAUCAGGACUGGAUGUGAGGAUGGAGCAGACUUUGCUCUGUGUGAUGGAGCUACUGUUGAUCAGUUCACUCUUCCAUUGUGGACAUGCUGAAGGACCUGUCCUCUCUGUGUCUCCAUCAUGGCUGAGUCCUGGAUCCUCAGUAACUCUGAGAUGUGAGAUUAAACCUCCGUCUGCAGGAUGGAGGUUCUACUGGUAUAAA